rnacentral:lncRNA from 1 species
UCUCAACCAGGGCCACCUCCAUCUCAACCAGGGCCACCUCCAUCUCAACCAGGGCCACCUCCAUCUCAACCAGGGCCACCUCCGCCUCCGCCUCCAUCUCAACCUCCCCCAGCAUCAUCCCACCAUUCUAAAACAUGGUUCUAGUGUGAUAAAGUCGAACAGAAAAAAAGAAUAAGACUUGCUUGGUGUAUCAAAUAAUAUGUGAUGUGAAAACUUCUAAGUGUCCCCUAAAGAAAACGAAGUGUACCUUACAGAAAACGGAGUGCGAGUUGUUUUACCUUAAUGAAAAUGAAGUGAUGGGUUGUUUUUGUAUGAGGUGAACAAAACACAGUUGCUUCGAGACCAAAGAAAAUGGGUAAGUAACAGAAUUAACCCAAACGAUGGUAGGCUUCGAUAAUUUUAACACAAAUGAUAUGGACUGUUAGUUUCAACCCAAAGAAAGUGGAGUGUUAGUUGCCUCUGUCCCCAAAGAGAACAAAAACUAGUUAAUUUUGCUUCAAAGAAAACGAAUUGCUGUUUGACUUUUGUUAAAAUAUAUGAUGUUUUUGGUGAUUUAUCCUUGAAGAAAACGGGCUGGUAGCUGGCUCAGUUGCAAAGAAAAUGAACUGCUAGUUACAUUAACUUAAUAGAAAAUGAACUGCUAGUUACAUUAACCUAAUAGAAAAUGGACUGCUAGUUAUUCUUGGCACUUUAAAAGAUAUUGAGUGAGAAGUUUGACAGAGUGAAGGUGAGGACAGACACGAACACCAAGAUGGCCAAGAAAUAUUACGUUAUUUUUAAACCCGGUCUAAACCAAACCUGAACCUGACUUAAACCAAACCUGAAACUGACUUAAACCAAACCUGAACCUGACUUAAACCAAACCUGAACCUGACUUAAACCAAACCUGAACCUGACUUAAACCAAACCUGAAUCUGACUUAAACCAAAUCUUAACCUGUCCUAUACCAAACCUGAACGUUACCUAAACCAAGUCUUAACCUGACUUAAACCAAACCUGAACAUGACCUAAAGAAAACCUUACCCCUACUUAAACCAAACCUGAACCCGAGUUAAACCCUACAAGUUGCGAAAGACAGAUUAAAUAUUUGUUAAGAAAAAGGACAAUUUACUGCCAUUGUGGGCAUAGUUCAAUGCCCACACCAGCGCCCACAUCUACGCCCACACCCACGUCCGCAUCUACCACAACACCCAUGCCGACGACAACGCAUACGCCCACCACAACGAAAACAACAACGCCCACGCUCAUGAGGACGCCCACACUCAGGAGAGGCCCCACCAUGACCACAGCCUCCCUCACGCCCACACUGAAGGUGAUGGGCGCCAGAGUGGUGAUGGGCGGUGUUCCUCACUGCCUCUGCCUCACACUCCUCAUCACAUUACUGGCAGGAUGGGCGGUGGGUCGCUGGACUGCUAUGGCCUCAACAACGUCUCAGUGCCUGUGGG